GCCUCAGUGGCUCAGUGGUAGAGCACCUCCUUGGUAAGGAGGAGAUCGUGAGUCCGAUUCUCACCUGAGGCU
rnacentral:tRNA from 1 species